rnacentral:rRNA from 1 species
GACGAACGCUGGCGGCGUGCCUAAUACAUGCAAGUCGAGCGCAGGAAACUGACGGAACUCUUCGGAGGGAAGGCAGUGGAAUGAGCGGCGGACGGGUGAGUAACACGUAAGGAACCUGCCUCAAGGAUUGGGAUAACUCCGAGAAAUCGGAGCUAAUACCGGAUAGUUCAUCGGACCGCAUGGUCCGUUGAUGAAAGGCGCUCCGGCGUCACCUUGAGAUGGCCUUGCGGUGCAUUAGCUAGUUGGUGGGGUAACGGCCCACCAAGGCGACGAUGCAUAGCCGACCUGAGAGGGUGAUCGGCCACACUGGGACUGAGACACGGCCCAGACUCCUACGGGAGGCAGCAGUAGGGAAUCUUCCACAAUGGACGAAAGUCUGAUGGAGCAACGCCGCGUGAGCGAUGAAGGUUUUCGGAUCGUAAAACUCUGUUGUAAGGGAAGAACACGUACGAGAGGAAAUGCUCGUACCUUGACGGUACCUUACGAGAAAGCCACGGCUAACUACGUGCCAGCCGCCGCAGUAAAAC